AGCGAACGCUGGCGGCAGGCCUAACACAUGCAAGUCGAACGAACCUUUCGGGGUUAGUGGCGGACGGGUGAGUAACACGUGGGAACGUGCCUUUAGGUUCGGCAUAACUCAGGGAAACUUGUGCUAAUACCGAAUGUGCCCUUCGGGGGAAAGAUUUAUCGCCCUUAGAGCGGCCCGCUUCUGAUUAGCUAGUUGGUUGAGGUAAUGGCUCACCAAGGCGACGAUCAGUAGCUGGUCUGAGGGGAUGAUCAGCCACAUUGGGACUGAGACACGGCGCAGACUCCUACGGGAGGCAGCAGUGGGGAAUCUUACGCAAUGGGCGAAAGCCUGACGCAGCCAUGCCGCGUGAAUGAUGAAGGUCUUAGGAGUGUAAAAUUCUUUCGUCGGGGACGAUAAUGACGAUAUCCGGAGAAGAAGCCCCGGCUAACUUCGUG
rnacentral:rRNA from 1 species